rnacentral:rRNA from 1 species
GGGGCAGCAUUUUAGUUUGCUUGCAACUAAAGAUGGCGACCGGCGCACGGGUGAGUAACACGUAUCCAACCUGCCGAUAACUCGGGGAUAGCCUUUCGAAAGAAAGAUUAAUAUCCGAUGGUAUAUUAAAACCGCAUGGUUUUACUAUUAAAGAAUUUCGGUUAUCGAUGGGGAUGCGUUCCAUUAGUUUGUUGGCGGGGUAACGGCCCACCAAGACUACGAUGGAUAGGGGUUCUGAGAGGAAGGUCCCCCACAUUGGAACUGAGACACGGUCCAAACUCCUACGGGAGGCAGCAGUGAGGAAUAUUGGUCAAUGGACGAGAGUCUGAACCAGCCAAGUAGCGUGAAGGAUGACUGCCCUAUGGGUUGUAAACUUCUUUUAUAUGGGAAUAAAGUAUUCCACGUGUGGGAUUUUGUAUGUACCAUAUGAAUAAGGAUCGGCUAACUCCGUGCCAGCAGCCGCGGUAAUACGGGAGAUCCGAGCGUUAUCCGGAUUUAUUGGGUUUAAAGGGAGCGUAG